CGACAGAGGGUGCGAACGUUGUUCGGAAUUACUGGGCGUAAAGCGCGUGUAGGCGGCUAUGCAAGUCGGGUGUGAAAGCCCUGGGCUUAACCGAGGAAGUGCACUCGAAACUGCAUAGCUCGAGUCCCGGAGAGGAUGGUGGAAUUCUCGGUGUAGAGGUGAAAUUCGUAGAUAUCGAGAGGAACACCGGUGGCGAAGGCGGCCAUCUGGACGGGUACUGACGCUGAGACGCGAAAGCGUGGGUAGCAAACAGGAUUAGAUACCCCAGUAGUCC
rnacentral:rRNA from 1 species